UCCCUGGUAGGCCAGUGGUUAGGAUUCGGCGCUUCCACUGCAGGGGCCCGGGGUUCGAUCCCUGGUCAGGGAA
rnacentral:tRNA from 1 species